rnacentral:tRNA from 1 species
GGUACAGUGGUUAAAAGUUUAGACUCUGCAGCUAGAUUUCCUGGGUUCAACUCCCAGCUUUACUA